rnacentral:rRNA from 1 species
UACGAAGGGGGCUAGCGUUGCUCGGAAUCACUGGGCGUAAAGGGUGCGUAGGCGGGUCUUUAAGUCAGGGGGGAAAUCCUGGAGCUCAACUCCAGAACUGCCUUUGAUACUGAAGAUCUUGAGUUCGGGAGAGGUGAGUGGAACUGCGAGUGUAGAGGUGAAAUUCGUAGAUAUUCGCAAGAACACCAGUGGCGAAGGCGGCUCACUGGCCCGAUACUGACGCUGAGGCACGAAAGCAUGGGGAGCAAACAGG